AGUGAACGCUGGCGGUAGGCCUAACACAUGCAAGUCGAACGGCAGCACAGUAAGAGCUUGCUCUUACGGGUGGCGAGUGGCGGACGGGUGAGGAAUACAUCGGAAUCUACUUUUUCGUGGGGGAUAACGUAGGGAAACUUACGCUAAUACCGCAUACGACCUACGGGUGAAAGCAGGGGAUCUUCGGACCUUGCGCGAUUGAAUGAGCCGAUGUCGGAUUAGCUAGUUGGCGGGGUAAAGGCCCACCAAGGCGACGAUCCGUAGCUGGUCUGAGAGGAUGAUCAGCCACACUGGAACUGAGACACGGUCCAGACUCCUACGGGAGGCAGCAGUGGGGAAUAUUGGACAAUGGGCGCAAGCCUGAUCCAGCCAUACCGCGUGGGUGAAGAAGGCCUUCGAGUUGUAAAGCCCUUUUGUUGGGAAAGAAAAGCAGCAGGUUAAUACCCCGCUGUUCCGACGGUACCCAAAGAAUAAGCACCGGCUAACUUCGU
rnacentral:rRNA from 1 species